AUCCCUGUGGCUCAGUUGGUAGAGCAUGGUGUGUGCAACGCCAGGGUUGUGGGUUCGAGUCCCACGGGGGGCC
rnacentral:tRNA from 1 species